UACGGAGGGGGCUAGCGUUGUUCGGAAUUACUGGGCGUAAAGCGUGUGUAGGUGGCUGCGUAAGUCGGAUGUGAAAGCCCUGGGCUCAACUCAGGAAGUGCACUCGAUACUGCGUAGCUCGAGUACCGGAGAGGUUGGUAGAAUUCUCGGUGUAGAGGUGAAAUUCGUAGAUAUCGAGAGGAAUACCUGUGGCGAAGGCGGCCAACUGGACGAGUACUGACACUGAGACACGAAAGCGUGGGGAGCAAACAGG
rnacentral:rRNA from 1 species